rnacentral:siRNA from 1 species
AACGUGUUUCUAGGAUAAAAUUAC